CCUACGGCGGGCAGCAGUGGGGGAUAUUGCACAAUGGGGGGAACCCUGCUGGUGCGACGCCGCGUGGGGGAAUGAAGGUCUUCGGAUUGUAAACCCCUGUCAUGUGGGAGCAAAUUAAAAAGAUAGUACCACAAGAGGAAGAGACGGCUAACUCUGUGCCAGCAGCCUCGGUAAUACAGAGGUCUCAAGCGUUGUUCGGAAUCACUGGGCGUAAAGCGUGCGUAGGCUGUUUCGUAAGUCGUGUGUGAAAGGCGCGGGCUCAACCCGCGGACGGCACAUGAUACUGCGAGACUAGAGUAAUGGAGGGGGAAACGGAAUUCUCGGUGUAGCAGUGAAAUGCGUAGAUAUCGAGAGGAACACUCGUGGCGAAGGCGGGUUCCUGGACAUUAACUGACGCUGAGGCACGAAGGCCAGGGGAGCGAAAGGGAUUAGAUACCCCUGUAGU
rnacentral:rRNA from 1 species